UGGGGAGUGGCCAAGCGGUAAGGCAGCGGAUUUUGGAUCCGAAGAUCGCAGGUUCGAAUCCUGCCUCCCCAG
rnacentral:tRNA from 1 species